CCUACGGGGGGCUGCAGUGGGGAAUUUUGGACAAUGGGGGCAACCCUGAUCCAGCCAUGCCGCGUGCGGGAAGAAGGCCUUCGGGUUGUAAACCGCUUUUGUCGGGGAAGAAAUCCUCUGGGCUAAUACCUCGGGGGCAUGACGGUACCCGGAGAAUAAGCACCGGCUAACUACGUGCCAGCAGCCGCGGUAAUACGUAGGGUGCAAGCGUUGCUCGAAGCGUGUGGGCGUGAUCUUGCAAGACACGUGUGAAAUCCCCGGGCUCAACCUGGGAACUGCAUUUGUGACUGCAAGGCUGGAGUGCGGCAGAGGGGGAUGGAAUGCCGCGUGUAGCAGUGAAAUGCGUAGAUAUGCGGAGGAACACCGAUGGCGAAGGCAAUCCCCUGGGCCUGCACUGACGCUCAUGCACGAAAGCGUGGGGAGCAAACAGGAUUAGAUACCCCUGUAGUC
rnacentral:rRNA from 1 species